CCUACGGGAGGCAGCAGUGGGGAAUAUUGGGCAAUGGGCGCAAGCCUGACCCAGCAACGCCGCGUGAAGGAAGAAGGCUUUCUGGUUGUAAACUUCUUUUCUCAGGGACGAAGCAAGUGACGGUACCUGAGUACUACGCCACGGCUAACUACGUGCCCGCAGCCGCGGUAAUACGUAGGUGGCAAGCGUUAUCCGGAUUUACUGGGUGUAAAGGGAGUGUAGGCGGGACUGCAAGUCAGAUGUGAAAACCACGGGCUAAACCUGUGGACUGCAUUUGAAACUGUAGUUCUUGAGUACUGGAGAGGUAGACGGAAUUCCUGGUGUAGCGGUGAAAUGCGUAGAUAUCAGGAGGAACACCAGUGGCGAAGGCGGUCUGCUGGACAGCAACUGACGCUGAGGCGCGAAAGCGUGGGGAGCAAACAGGAUUAGAUACCCUAGUAGUC
rnacentral:rRNA from 1 species